AUGAUCAUACUUUUUAGGAUACUUCUAUAUGCGAUUGCCGGGUUUUUUUCGCCGAGAUUCCGGAAUAUGUUCAACCCCGAUGAGGACUGUUAGUGUAACCUCUGAGCGGGAAGCGGCUCUCAAGGUUGGCUUUAAGAUUUGAUGACCGUUUUGGGUCGGUUUUUCCGAUGUUGAGAGGAGAUCACACAAGUGAGUGGU